UAUAACAAAAAAUAGAGUUCAAUACUCUUGAUUUCUUCACCGAAUGCCUAUAAAACCUAGAUCGACUUCUUCACCCUUUUCGUGCUCAUCCACGGGCGACGAGGAUUUAAAGUUGAUACA
ensembl:snoRNA ZK632.18 ncRNA